GACGGAGGGUGCUAGCGUUGUUCGGAAUUACUGGGCGUAAAGGGCGCGUAGGCGGCCAUGUAAGUCGGGUGUGAAAGCCCGGGGCUCAACCCCGGAACGGCACCCGAGACUGCGUGGCUCGAGACCGGAAGAGGUGAGUGGAAUACCCAGUGUAGAGGUGAAAUUCGUAGAUAUUGGGUGGAACACCGGUGGCGAAAGCGGCUCACUGGCCCGGUUCUGACGCUGAGGCGCGAAAGCGUGGGGAGCAAACAGG
rnacentral:rRNA from 1 species